rnacentral:rRNA from 1 species
GACGAACGCUGGCGGCGUGCUUAACACAUGCAAGUCGAACGGAAAGGCCCUGCUUUUGUGGGGUGCUCGAGUGGCGAACGGGUGAGUAACACGUGAGUAACCUGCCCUUGACUUUGGGAUAACUUCAGGAAACUGGGGCUAAUACCGGAUAGGAGCUCCUGCUGCAUGGUGGGGGUGGGAAAUUUUCGGCGGGUGGGGAUGGACUCGCGGCUUAUCAGCUUGUUGGUGGGGUAGUGGCUUACCAAGGGUUUGACGGGUAGCCGGCCUGAGAGGGUGACCGGCGACAUUGGGACUGAGAUACGGCCCAGACUCCUACGGGAGGCAGCAGUGGGGAAUAUUGCACAAUGGGCGGAAGCCUGAUGCAGCAACGCCGCGUGCGGGAUGACGGCCUUCGGGUUGUAAACCGCUUUCGCCUGUGACGAAGCGUGAGUGACGGUAAUGGGUAAAGAAGCACCGGCUAACUACGUG